GAUGAACGCUGGCGGCGUGCCUAAUACAUGCAAGUCGAGCGAACUGAUUAGAAGCUUGCUUCUAUGACGUUAGCGGCGGACGGGUGAGUAACACGUGGGCAACCUGCCUGUAAGACUGGGAUAACUUCGGGAAACCGAAGCUAAUACCGGAUAGGAUCUUCUCCUUCAUGGGAGAUGAUUGAAAGAUGGUUUCGGCUAUCACUUACAGAUGGGCCCGCGGUGCAUUAGCUAGUUGGUGAGGUAACGGCUCACCAAGGCAACGAUGCAUAGCCGACCUGAGAGGGUGAUCGGGCACACUGGGACUGAGACACGGCCCAGACUCCUACGGGAGGCAGCAGUAGGGAAGCUUCCGCAAUGGACGAAAGUCUGACGGAGCAACGCCGCGUGAGUGAUGAAGGCUUUCGGGUCGUAAAACUCUGUUGUUAGGGAAGAACAAGUACAAGAGUAACUGCUUGUACCUUGACGGUACCUAACCAGAAAGCCACGGCUAACUACGUGCCAGCCGCCGCCGUAAAAC
rnacentral:rRNA from 1 species